AUGGCUGAGAAGCAUCCAGGCAACAGCUUUUCUCCAGAGAGAAGACCAGUCUUGAUGUCAUCAAGUUCCUCUUCUACUGAGCUGUCCACCACUGGAUCUUCUGACCUGCAACCCUUUUCUCCGGGCCGUGCAUUGUCAUCGAACAGCCUUUCCUCCUACACGGUGCCCGUGCGUCUAGAUGUCCUUUACUUUUUGCUCAACAGUGCUGCCAAGGGGGCCCAGAAUGCCCUGCCUUCACUGCCUGUCCACGGGGGACAAGUAUCUUUGUCCACAUGCCAUGCUCCAGCUGCUCUUCAGGCACGGCCAAGCUGCUGCAACUGCUGCCACGCCAUCAGCCAUGAGGUGCCAGGUUGUGUGAGCACCCAACAUCAAACUGGGUCCUGCCAUUUUGGACCAGCCCAGGCAAGUUACAGUGGACAAGGAGGAUUGAACGCUGGAGUCCCAGGAAGACAGAAUGAUGGAAAUCGUUGGCUCCAGACCAACCAACAAAGCAAUGGGAAAAGCUGGUCUGGCUGGAACAGAGAUCAGUCCAUGACGGGCUGGAAGGAGAAUCCACGAAGGGGAGGAGGAGGAGGAGGAGGACAAGGACAUGGCAGUGGAAACAGCUGGCCAGGGAGGCAGAAUAACAGUGGAAGAUCUUGGGGGGACAGAAGACAAGACACGGCAGAUUCUGUUCCUUGGAGGUCAGGAUCACAGGUUUGGAGGAGAGAAGGGUCGCCCUUUGGCUCAAACACACAAAAAGGCAGCAGUCAAAGGAACCAAGAGGGGAUCCGUCGCCAGAUGGUGUGGGACAUCCCAGAAGCCAAACGACGUUCGGACGGUGCUGAAAAGGGAUGGCAGAAAAGCCAAGGGAAGCAAGAGCCAGUGUUGGGUAAGAGAGCAGAUGCUGGUCCAGCCAAACAAGUGGCUCAGGACAGUGGAGAAGACUGGGAUGUGGAUUACGAGAGCAAACCAGCAGCCUCUGCUACUGCUCCAGGGAGUGCUUCCCAGCAAACGGGCACUUCCAAAGAAUGCAAAAAUUCGAGGGAUGAAUGUACUUCAUCCACAGAGCCACCUAAGUUGGGGCCGUUGAGGUCUCCUCCUCCUCCUCUUCCAUCCCCUCCUCCUCCACCACCACCACCACCACCACCUCCACCUCCUGCUCCAGAAAUGGCCUUCAAAGACCAAGGAUCUGCGGCUGCAGAACCAGAACCUGGUGGGUCUCACACGGAGAAGGCCAAGAAUAGUGGGUUUCUUGCCUACUUCAAUAACCUCUAUUCUGACCGGCAAGGGAAAUCCAGUUCCGAAGGCUCCACAGACCUGACCAUUGACACAGAUGUGGAGUCAUCCAAGCCCAGUGAGGAAGAGCAGUCACCCAAGAGUGGGGUCGAAGCUGUCUAA
rnacentral:lncRNA from 1 species